UUGGGGUCGCACUUCCAAGUUCUGAGACCAGGUGCCAUUGCCUGCGGUGGAAACGCAUGGAAUUAGUGCCGGAUUGGGAAGACGUCCGGCACCGCCUUGGUGGAAAUGAGGUAUCUGGAAGCUGCAUAAGACGCCAGCUUAUUCUAGUGUUCAUGAGUUUUACCGGAUCUGACUGUAAGACGGAUCUGCUGACUUGGGGCGGACCAGGCCUGGAAUCCACUGCUUUCUGUGAGGAAUAGAAUUAAGCAGAAAAAACUACAAUAAAAUACAGAGUCAGCGGCAGAGAUGGGAUGCCCAAUAAAAGAUGAGGUGCCUGGUGAUAGACUUGGGAUACUGGUGAGAGAGACGGGACGCCGGUGAGAGAGACGGGAUGCUGGUGAGAGAGAAAAUGCCGGCUGAGCUGUCUCAGAUCGGGAAGCUGUUCACCAUCACAGCUCGGUAUGAG